GAAACUCGCCUACAUGAAGCUGGAGUUGCUAGUAAUCGCGAAUCAGCAUGUCGCGGUGAAUACGUUCCCGGGGCCUUGUACACACCGCCCGUCACACCAUGAGAGUCGGGAACACCCGAAGUCCGUAGUCUAACCGCAAGGAGGGCGCGGCCGAAGGUGGGCUUGAUAAUUGGGGUGAAGUCGUAACAAGGUAAC
rnacentral:rRNA from 1 species